rnacentral:rRNA from 1 species
UUUUUUUGUCAGUAAUAAAAAAUAUAAUCUGCCCACUGAAAUUUUAAGGGCCGCAGGAUUUAACUGUGCAAAGGUAGCAUAAUAAUUAGUUUUUUAAUUGAAAAAUGGAAUGAAUGAUUGAAUGAUUUAAAAUUAUUUAAAAAUAAAUUAUUGAAUUUAAAUAAAAAGUGAAAAUGCUUUAAAUUUUUAAAAGACGAUAAGACCCUAUAGAUCUUAAAGUAUUUAUUUGUUAUAUUUAGGUUUGAAUUAAUUUAAAAAUUUAUUUUUAACUGGGGUGGUAAAAGAAAUUAAUUAACUUCUUUAUUGUAAGAUGAACUUGAAAUUUGGAUUAAAAAGAUACCUUAGGGAUAACAGCGUUAUUAUAUUAAAAAGAUCUUAUUGAUAGUAUAGUUUGCGACCUCGAUGUUGAAUUAAAAAUAUUUUUGUUAGCAGUUUAAUAAAUUAUUAGUCUGUUCGACUAUUAUAGUUUUACA